UGUAAGUGUAAAUCAGAUCGAAUAAAUCACUGAUAAUUAACGUCCUCCUGAGAUCUUGCAAUAACAAAACAAGAAAACCAUGCACUUAUUACCGUUAAUCUAACACAAGAACAUUACAGGAAAGAUUAAAAGACGCAGAAGGAACUCGGCAAACUAUGAACCCCGCCUGUUUACCAAAAACAUCGCCUCUUGCUAAAAAACAUGUAUAAGAGGUCCAGCCUGCCCAGUGACUAUAUGUUCAACGGCCGCGGUAUUCUGACCGUGCAAAGGUAGCGUAAUCACUUGUCUUUUAAAUAAAGACUGGUAUGAACGGCACCACGAAGGUUCAACUGUCUCCUGCAUCCAAUCCAUUAAACUGACCUCCCCGUGCAGAGGCGGGGAUACAACCAUAAGACGAGAAGACCCUAUGGAGCUUUAAACUAAAGGCAACUGCCAACUUCAACCUAACCCAUAAGGAAAUAACAAUUAAACAAGCAGAAACUGACCUAAAGUUUUCGGUUGGGGCGACCACGGAGAAUAAAAAAUCCUCCUUGAAGAAUAGGGCCUACCACCCUUAACCAAGAACCACCAUUCUAAGUAACAAAAUUUAUGACUAUAAUUGAUCCAGUCCUACUGAUCAACGA
rnacentral:rRNA from 1 species